UCUUCUAUGCUGACUGUCGUGUGCUGCCUGUUGUGCCCUAAAACGGGGCACAUGGAACAAGUUACCCCAGCCCCCCCUGCUGCCUUUGAUAACCGCAGCAGUGCACUAUUGCACUGCUGAGCUGGAAAAAUGAAUGGUCCGAAAAGGGGGCGGAGCUACACGGCAAUUUGCUCAGUACCAAGCCAGACAGCACCAUCGAAGAGAGGAGGGGAGAGGAGCAGCAGCAGCACACACCAAAGCCUAAAUAAUUUUGUGUGAAGAAUACAUUUUUGUUGGAUUUAUGAAGGUGUGGUCCAUUUCGGCUUAAAGAAACCUUGAUACGUGGAAUGAGAUCCAUUACAAACUUUUUGCAGCAUUAAUCAGUUGUGGCAACAGUGUAUGAAUGAACUAUGGCUGGAACAGUUGAGUGAUAUUCCGCUGCAUGGUGAUACCAGAUGGCAGAGAUUCUAGUACUGGUACCAGCAUCCAGAUGCAACAGCAGCAACACAGUGACAUGGAUGAGACAAUCAUGUUACAAAUGCAGCCAUUAAUCCAAGGAAUCAGCCACCCAGCACCUGUGAGUACACCACCACAGCAAAUCACUCCACCACCACAACACAGCCCAACAACACCAGUAGCACAAGGCCCUGAUCAAGUGUUUUGGGACAGUUGGGCUACACAGCAGGCCACUAAUCAAGAUUGCCUGCGUAGGCAGACCCAAAUUUUUGCAAACCUACCAGCUCACCUCAGAAGAAUCAGCAGAAAUAUCAGUCGCAAAAAUGAACCAACCACCAGAAUUGCCAAUACCAUGGAAAUCAUGCGUGCAGACAUUACACAUGUCAUGGGCAACUUACAACGCAUAAUUGAAGAACAGCACAGACAACAGCAAAGCUACAUCAACAUCUUAGAAAACAAUCAAAUGAUCAAUGAAUCUAUCACAAGAAUUUUAGAGAAUCAAAAUGCUGCAACACGUGAACUUAAUGCCACCCUCACUAACCUCAAUGAAACACUCAGAUCCCAGCACCAUCAGCAACCAAGCAGCAGUUCUGGUACGACUACUCCGAUUCUCUCGCCAGUGUCCUCACCACCAAGGCGCUCCACCAGAGCACGCCAACACGACAGUGGUAAAGGCAAAGGCCAGUCCAAGCAGCCAACCACAAAAAAAAAAAAAUAGAUACACCGAUCUCUGUAUAGAGAAGUAAAUAAACACAUUUAAUAAGUGUAGGUUUGUCACAAUAUCUAUUACACUUACCACCUUGACAAUUUUUUUAACAUCAUUAAUUAUAGGUGUUACAAACAACAACAGGAUUUUGGCCAACACAUUUAUUCUUUCACAUCUUUGAAUUUUUUAGGAGGAGGACAAAGUUAUUUGAUCUGCACAUUGAUGUUAGCAUGCAGUAACAAGACCACGUGAUUUUUUUCUAAUCAUUACUCUUUCUAGAUUCCAAUCAUUCUUAUAUUCUGCAGGCAGACUAAUUGGCAGCCAUGCAGAUUCAUCCAUGACCAAUACAAAUUACAAUGUGAUUGUUAACUCUUUUACCUUUCUUCUCUAUACAACAUUACACGAAUAACACAAUUGAGUUGGCUAAAAAGGUCCUAAUAUGUUGUGAUCGAAUUUAGAUAAUUCAGUGCCAAAAUGAAUGUCAUUAUUGUUGGGCCAUGUUUGUGUGUGUUAAAAAUGAGUAAUCAGUUUCUUACACAUGAUGCAGAAACAAAUAAAUUGUUUUUUUUAAUAAGCACAAAUAAUGUGUAUAAUAAUGGAUAUAUGUGGCAAACUGUGUAUUGACUUACAAAUCAGCAAGUUUACUGCAGCAAACAUUACGAAAUAAAUUAUUUUGGAUGAUACUAAGUUUGUGUCCCUUAAAUAUGAUGGAGCAUCACACAUAGGGACACAUGUAUUCCUCAAGGCUAACAUAUUAUAUGUGGAAGAGUGUUUAAUUAGGACACAGGUUCUCAAACUCGGUCCUCAGGACCCCACACA